CUGAGAAUAUCCAGUGGGAGGGAGUCUCAAGGGAGCAGUCCUGAACCGAGAACUCUUUGGCUUUUAUCACAAGGAAAAACAGGAAGAAAACCAGAUUGGGUGGCAAGGAACAGGAAGGAUGUGGUUUGUGCCAGUUCCUCCCUCCCAGGAGACAUCCCGCAUCACACAACAUUUCACUCAGCUGUGUGGCUGAGCGCUGACAAACUCAAUUUGUGGAAGGUGAGCGCAAGUUGACACCAUGCUGUGGCAGUUGUCCUGAUGGGAGCCAAGGACUCAUUUCAUUCCAAGGUGGAACCCACCUUCUCCGGAAACAAGCUUGUGCACACGAGUGUAGCGGACAAGGACGGAAGACUGACACAAAGUCGAAGAACUUCUGGAGUUGGAGAGAGCAGGGAGGGAUGGGAGGAGAAGCGGACAAAGAGAAUUAAGAUAUGUUGUGUAUGUGUACAAACUUCCCCACAAUAAAUAUAAUCCUCAUGUAUGGC
ensembl:lncRNA